AUUGAACGCUGACGGCAGGCCUAACACAUGCAAGUCGAGCGAGCGGAGGACGGGUGAGUAAUGUAUGGGGACUGCCCGAUAGAGGGGGAUAAAUACUGGAAACGGUGGCUCAUACCGCAUACUAUCGGAUAACCCAUAUGGGAUUAGCUAGUAGGUGGGGUAAAGGCUCACCUAGGCGACGAUCGCUAGCUGGUCUGAGAGGAUGAUCGUCCACACUGGGACUGAGACACGGCCCAGACGCCUACGGAGGCAGCAGUGGGGAAUAUUGCACAAUGGGCGCAAGCCUGAGGCAGCCAUGCCGCGUGUAUGAAGAAGGCCUUAGGGUUGUUAAGUACUUUCAGCGGGGAGGCGUUACCCGCAGAAGAAGCACCGGCUAACUCCGUGCCAGCAUCCGCGGUAAUAC
rnacentral:rRNA from 1 species